rnacentral:lncRNA from 10 species
GUGGCUUGGUUGCUGUGGGCCAGAAGUCCCAGAAGUGCUCCUAAGCAGUUGCCCACCCAAUUUCGGCUGGAGGUGAGUUUCUGUCUCUCUCUGGCCCCACAAGCGCUGACCCUAACCACGUUCCUGAUUGCCUUGGAUGAACUGACUUUGAAAUUUGACAUCUGCAUCCCAAUAGGGCUUGGACUCUUGGGUCUGAAGGAGGCACAAACCCCAGCUAAAUUUUGAACAUUGACACAAGUUGAAGCCUCAUCUUCAGACUUGGGAGAAGGUGACACUCAAAAUGAACUGGUUUUGUG